UACGUAGGGGGCAAGCGUUGUCCGGAUUUAUUGGGCGUAAAGAGCGUGUAGGCGGCCUGACAGGUCUGCUGUGAAAACUCGAGGCUCAACCUCGAGAUGUCGGCGGAAACCGUCUGGCUAGAGUCCGGAAGAGGAGAGUGGAAUUCCCGGUGUAGCGGUGAAAUGCGCAGAUAUCGGGAAGAACACCUGCGGCGAAGGCGGCUCUCUGGGACGGUACUGACGCUGAGACGCGAAAGCGUGGGGAGCAAACAGG
rnacentral:rRNA from 1 species